AAAUGCGAGGGAGGCCGAUUACGUGCCCACUGACGGAGAGGUGCAUCUGGGCAAAGGGAUCACCAUUCCUGAGGGCCUGUACAGCCGCCUCAUGAGCACAAAAAGCGAAACCCGCUUUGUUCGUGAGGCGGCCGUUGCCAUUUAUUCAACGGCAGGCUUGGUUGGGCGGAGUGUAAUUGGAACAGCCUCUAACCAGACAAAGGGAGAGGCAAAACCUCCCUUGGAUAAAGAAAAAUACGCUGUGCUUUCUGAUUUCUUCAACCAUUUUUUGAAAAGCAAUUUUCCAAUUGGAGAGGUCGAGCAAAAGAAGAAGAUACUAAAUAAGGCGCUCGCAAACAAAAUUAACGAUUUGAUGAAAUCAAAAGAUUAAGAAGUCAAUGGAACAUCAAAUAAAAG